UCCCAACAGGCGCCGCCGGCCCCGCGCCACCUGCACCCCGCCCCAAACGGCGCCGUCGGCCUCGCGCCGCCCGUACCUCCCCCAACCGGCGCCACUCGAUCCCCGCCCCAACCGAGCCCGUCGCCGACGGCUGCCUCGCACCCUCGAUGCUGGAGGACACCAUGCGCCUCCGUCGGCCCUGCCACUACCUCCUCCUCCCGGUGAUACUCCUGCAUCGCCAGCGCGCUUGGAUCCGGUGACGCCACCAACCACCGGAGCUAGGUGACGCCCCCGCCCCAGCCCCGCUCACACCCCGGUCACCUCUGUCGCCGGUACCCCACGCGCGAGACGCUGCAGCGCGCAAGCCAUUCACCUUCAUCGCCCAUGUCCGUCCAAGUACUGGUCACCAUGCGCUCCUAGCCGAACUUCAUGGGGUGCCCGUGGCGGCCUUCAUUGCGUGCGUCCGCUUCGAUCUUCAUCCCCAGAGACGGUGCCUCAACCCCGGGUGGCUCCUUCCCCAUCAGAUUGCUCGGGGAUCCAGCUCGUGGACCCCGUCUCCAUUGUCUCAACUGGUGAGAAGUCCAAAGACAGCAGCGCGUGCAGGAAUCGCUUCACCGACAAUUCAAUCCGGGGCACACCGUCGUAGUGGUAACUCACUGCUGGGCCAACAGCAGCCUAGUGCACCGCCUGCUGCUGCGCCAACAGCCGCCCAUGAACCAGGGCCUCACCCCCUGCAACAUCUCACUGACCUAUGAUACAAAGUGAUGGUGUCGCUUUCAUCCAAUUGGUUUUUUCAGUCGACUAAGUGUUGGUCCAUUAGUCUGAUUAGUUCUUAAACUAUUGUACUUUCUUGGAUCUCGAUGGUAUUGACCAAGUGUGCAGUUUGUCGGAGUAGAUGGUAUUAAGAUGUGCUCCAUGUUGUGUACUACAUCGAAUGAUUUGUCAGUAUAUUCCCUGCAUUUGCUAUCUCACCAGCCGGCUAAAACUAA